GAUGCAAAGUGACCCUCACACUCCCCGUACCUUCCAUGUCCUGAUGACAUUCCUUCAGAGCAUGAGCCAAAGUGAACCCUUACUUCCUUCAGCUGCUAAGUAUUACAUCACGGCAAAGAGAAAUAUAACUCACAGAACUCCAUGCUCGCUAGACACGGUGGUGGGAAGAUACUUGUCAUUGGACUUAAUGCCACCUAGCAAACCAAGAUGAUUUUGACCGGGAAGACUUAAUUGCAUCUCUGAAGACCACUUCUACUCCUAUUAAGGUUACUUAAUAAGGGCUGAGUCUCGCACAGAAAUUCAACCUGCAUUCAACCCACCAUAGGGGACGCAAGACAGGAUUUCUCCAUAUAGCUCUGGAUGUCCUGGAACUC